rnacentral:tRNA from 1 species
GGUGGCUCAGUGGUCGAGCACUUGCCUUGCAUGCAUGAGGCCCUGGGUUCGAUUCCUCAGUACCA